UGGGCCGUGUCCAUGGCAACUCGGGAGGAACUUGAUCGUGGGGCAGCCUGUAAGCCCAGCACUGGGGAGGCUGAGGCAGGAGGAU
rnacentral:miRNA from 1 species